GAAUUCCACAGCCCCCACCCCUGCCCUCAGCCUCCUUCAAAGUGGCCGCUGGGGCUGGGGUCUGUCUUUGCAGAGGUGCCAGGCCACAUGCCCUGCCCACCUCUACCAGCUAUGCCGCCUCUGAAGUUCCUCCAGCGGCACUGAGGAGGGGCCCUGUGGUCGAGGGUGCAGUUAAACGAGGCCCGACCGGGUAGUUGAGCUCAGCUUGGCUGUACUUGUCUUCCUUGGACCUGCUGGGCACCCCCAGAGCCACAGGGGCCACCUGACAUCUCACAGGCUCAUCUACCUUCCAAGACCAGCUCAUCACUUCUGGCACCCCUCUCUAUAGUUGCCUCCCAAAGUCUCCCAUCUUAUACCCACGGCCCCCUGGGCAUCAAGCUGGACAUCUGGGAACAACCUUCAGCACCAAGUCCCCCCACCACUCAUCUGGACUUGCAAAAGUCUCCUUACUGGUCUCGCUGUCAUCCAGGAGCCAUGGUGAAUUACUUAAAAAUUCUUUUCUUCAGCGAGGCGCAGUGGCUCAUUCCUAUAAUCCCAGCACUUUGGGAGGCUGAGGUGAGCAGAUCACCUGAGGUCAGGAGUACGAGACCAGCCUGGCCUACAUGAAUGCAAUACAGCAAUGAGAGUGGCCAGCCACUGCUACUACAUGCAGCCCCAUGGAGGACUCUCACAGAUACAACUCUGAACGAAAGAGGCCAGGCGUGAACAGCACAGGUGGAACUGAGGAGUCCCAACCCAGGGCAGGAAGGGCACAAGAACAUCGUCCUGUUUGUGGACUCACCUGGUAGUUACCCGGAUGUGUUCACUUUUGAUAAUUUAUUAAGGAAUAUUUUUAUGAUUGGUGCACUUUCCUGUAUGCAUGUUAUAUUUCAAAAACAAGUUUUCAUGAAAAAAAAAAAAAGCAAACAAAUACAAAUGCUGUCUGCUGUCCCCUCCUGUCCUCCCAUGCCCUUGCCCUGUGCAGGCCAGCACCGCCUCCCCCUGGAUGGCUGCCCUGGCCUUCCUCUCAUGUGCUCACCUCCCCAUACCUCCCACUCCCACUCCAAAUUAUAGUCGCCAGGCUUAGCAAUAAAAGUACACAAAUGCC
rnacentral:lncRNA from 1 species